rnacentral:rRNA from 1 species
AUACGUGGGUAACGUACCUCGGGUAUGAGGAUAGCGGCGCCCCCGGGCAACCGGGGGCUUUAGCGAAAGUGCCGGUAAUACUCAAUAACGUGUUCGGUUGGCAUCGACCGAACACCAAAGGGUGGCCUCUUCAUGAAAGCUACCGACCUGGGAGCGGCCCACGCCCUAUCAGCUUGUUGGUGAGGUAACGGCUCACCAAGGCAACGACGGGUAGCCGGUCUGAGAGGAUGAUCGGCCGCAUCGGGACUGAGACACUGCCCGGACACCUACGGGUGGCUGCAGCACCGAAUAUUGGUCAAUGGACGCAAGUCUGAACCAGCGACGCCGCGUGCAGGAUGAAGUCCUUCGGGAUGUAAACUGCUGUCAGGGGUCAGCAAGCAACCGCAGUGAAUAAUUGCGGAAGUUGAGCAGCCCCAAAGGAAGCCUCGGCUAACUCCGUGCCAGCAGCCGCGGUAAUACGGAGGAGGCGAGCGUUGUUCGGAAUCACUGGGCUUAAAGCGCGUGUAGGCGGCUUGCCAAGCGUCGUGUGAAAUCCCUCGGCUCAACCGAGGAACUGCAAGGCGAACUGGCAGGCUUGAGGCAGGUAGGGGCAACUGGAACUCUAGGUGGAGCGGUGAAAUGCGUAGAUAUCUAGAGGAACGCCCGUGGCGAAAGCGGGUUGCUGGGCCUGACCUGACGCUGAGACGCGAAAGCGUGGGGAGCGAACGGGAUUAGAUACCCCGGUAGUCCACGCCGUAAACAAUGCGCACUAGGUUCGGGAGUCUCUGACGGCGACCGGGCCGAAGUAAAAACGUUAAGUGCGCCGCCUGGGGAGUACGGCCGCAAGGCUAAAACUCAAAGGAAUUGACGGGGGCUCACACAAGCGGUGGAGCAUGUGGCUCAAUUCGAAGCAACGCGCAGAACCCUACCCGGGUUUGACAUGCACGGAUGCCCUCGGUGAAAGCCGAGUAAGCUGCCUUCGGGUGAAACGUGCACAGGUGCUGCAUGACUGUCGUCAGCUCGUGCUGUGAAGUGUCGGGUUAAGUCCCUUAACGAGCGAAACCCUUGUCGCUAGUUGCCAGCGGUUCGGCCGGGGACUCUAGCGAGACUGCCGGCGUCAAGCCGGAGGAAGGCGGGGAUGACGUCAAGUCCUCAUGGCCCUUAUGCCCGGGGUUGCACACGUGCUACAAUGGGACGUACAGAGCGAUGCAAAGCCGCGAGGUGGAGCAAAUCGCACAAAGCGUCCCUCAGUUCGGAUUGGAGUCUGCAAUUCGACUCCAUGAAGCCGGAAUCGCUAGUAAUCGCGUACCAGCCAUGACGCGGUGAAUGUGUUCCUGAGCCUUGUACACACCGCCCGUCAAGUCAUGGAAGCCGGGAGUGCCCGAAGUCCGGUCCGUCAACCGUAAGGAGACGCCGGCCGACGGCAAGC